ensembl:snRNA U2 U2 spliceosomal RNA
AUCGCUUCUCGGCCUUUUGGCUAAGAUCAAGUGUAGUACAAUUGUAAGAUCAUUUUGAAAUUUGUCGUGGGUCUGAUGAAAUCCUGCAUUGUCUAAUUCUGGUAUCUGCCAAAUUGUGUUCCUAAAAUGAUGAACUUUGCAAGAUUACUGCAAGACAUAAU